rnacentral:rRNA from 1 species
GAUGAACGCUAGCGGCAGGCUUAAUACAUGCAAGUCGAGGGGCAGCAGGGGUAGCAAUACUCGCUGGCGACCGGCAAACGGGUGCGGAACACGUACGCAACCUUCCCAUAACUGGUGAAUAGCCUUCCGAAAGGGAGAUUAAUACACCGUAACAUAAUGAAGUGGCAUCACUUUAUUAUUAUAGCUCCGGCGGUUAUGGAUGGGCGUGCGCCUGAUUAGGUAGUUGGUAGGGUAACGGCCUACCAAGCCUUCGAUCAGUAACUGGUGUGAGAGCACGACCAGUCACACGGGCACUGAGACACGGGCCCGACUCCUACGGGAGGCAGCAGUAAGGAAUAUUGGUCAAUGGACGCAAGUCUGAACCAGCCAUGCCGCGUGAAGGAUGAAGGCCCUCUGGGUUGUAAACUUCUUUUAUCUGGGACGAAAAUAGGCUUUCUAGCUUACUUGACGGUACCAGAGGAAUAAGCACCGGCUAACUCCGUGCCAGCAGCCGCGGUAAACUCGUCU